rfam:Fukomys damarensis contig155169, whole genome shotgun sequence.
UGGCGCCCAAAAGUGGGGCUCGAGACACGGGGUCUUCACCUGGUGGAUGCUGCUCGGAAGAUCGGCCGAUUGACUCAUAAGCAGUCCGCUCAGACCCACCCGUCUGAGAAAGCGACCUGCGAGGUAAGUGAGCAGCAGGAACGAUGGGACAACAGGUUAGUAAACAUGAAAUUUUUGUUCAGGACUUAAAGUCCGCUCUCAGGGUGCGGGGAGUUCGGGUUAAGAAAAAGGAUCUAAUCAAAUUCUUCAAGUUUGUGGAAGAAACCUGUCCUU